CUGGAAAGUUUUAUCAAGUGCCUUUUGAAGAGGUACAGCAAGGAAGACCUAUGGAAAGGAUGAGAUUUAAACGGGGAAACGUGCAUAUGUGUGGAAAAACCAAGCACCGAUUCAUCCAGUGCUGCCCGGCACGUGCCAGUGAUGGGAGAAACACCUGAUUAUGAGCUGCUCGUGGGGGAGUGAAGCUCUUCAUCAGCUUCCCUAGUCCGUGAAAACGUCAUCAGUGAGGAAAGCCGGACGGGGAUCAGUGUUGACCGUGGAGACGUGGAACGUUUCCAGGUACAUUAAGUGGGAGGAAACCCACAUUCUGGAAAAGGCGACCCGAGGAGUUUCUGGGGGCCCUCUAUCCCUCCCCCCGACCCCAAGAAGAGAGGAAAGAGGACGCUCAGUCCCCCUGGCCGUGACCAUGACGCCCGAGUUCCUGGGCCUCCCAUAAACCUGCUCCAGCCGAGGAGUCUGCCAAGGACGCCCGCGUGAUGCCAGCCCUGAACGCGCUCCAGAGUCACGUAAGCGAGCCCUGCUGCACUUACGGAGCUGGCCGUCCAGCGCCUGCCAGCCUCUCCAGGACGGAACCUUGAGCGAGAUGCCGUGGGGAGGAUGCAGUGAUGUGAUGCACACGAGGCACUCGGCACGCACUGCCCCGUUACUGACACUUCGUAGAUAUCACCGGAGCAGCUGAGCUGCCGGACCCUCCCCAGCGAGGACAGCUGCGGGACAGACACGUCGGCAGGGUAGGUGUGCUGAGCAGGUUCCUACCUACCUGACCUCCAAAGCUUCUUUCCAGCUGUGAGGUUGAAUGGAGGUGUCCUUCCAGUUCUAAAAGGGCAGCCCUCAGGCAGCUGUUAUCCCACUGAGCAACUGGAGGGUCACAGAGGCCCGGGGAGCCAAGUGGCC